GCAUAACGCGAAGAACCUUACCUAGGCUUGACAUGCAUCUCUAAGCACGUGAAAGCGUGUGACCCUUCGGGGAAUUUGCACAGGUGCUGCAUGGCCGUCGUCAGCUCGUGUCGUGAGAUGUUGGGUUAAGUCCCGCAACGAGCGCAACCCUUGUGACUAGUUGCCAGCACGUUAUGGUGGGAACUCUAGUCAGACUGCCCAGAUCAACUGGGAGGAAGGUGGGGACGACGUCAGGUCAAUAUGGCCCUUACGCCUAGGGCUGCACACGUACUACAAUGCCCAGCACAAUGAGAACCGAGACCGCGAGGUGGAGGAAAUCUAAAAAACUGGGCCCAGUUCGGAUUGGAGGCUGCAACUCGCCUCCAUGAAGUUGGAAUCGCUAGUAAUGGCGCAUCAUCUACGGCGCCGUGAAUACGUUCCCGGGUCUUGUACACACCG
rnacentral:rRNA from 1 species